rnacentral:rRNA from 1 species
CAUGCGCAGCUACCAUGCAGUCGAGCGGUAAAGUUAGUUUGUUGCUCCUCUGAUGACCACCGGGGGGCGGGUGAGUAAUGCUUGGGAAUGUUCCUUAUGGUGGGGGACAACAAUUGGAAACGACUGCUAAUACCGCUUAAUGUCUUCCGACCAUUAACGGGGACCUUCUGGCCUCGCGCCAAUGGAUCUGCCCAAGUGGGAUUAGCUAGGAGGUGAGGUAAUGGCCCACCAAGGCGACGAUCCCUAGCUGGGAUAAGAAGAUGAUCCACCACGCUGCGACUGAGACACCGCCACUACUCCUACAGGAGGCAGCGAUGAAGAAUAUUGCACGAAGGCCGCAAUGCUGAUGCCAUGCUGCCGGGUGGAAGAAGAACGCCUUCGGGUUGUAAAGCUCUUUCACUAAAGAAGAAAGGUUGGAUGUUAAUAUGAUU